UACAGAGGGGGCAAGCGUUGUUCGGAAUUACUGGGCGUAAAGGGCGCGUAGGCGGCCUUCUAAGUCGAACGUGAAAUCCCUGGGCUCAACUCAGGAACUGCGUCCGAUACUGAAAGGCUUGAAUCCGGGAGAGGGAUGCGGAAUUCCAGGUGUAGCGGUGAAAUGCGUAGAUAUCUGGAGGAACACCGGUGGCGAAGGCGGCAUCCUGGACCGGUAUUGACGCUGAGGCGCGAAAGCCAGGGGAGCAAACGGG
rnacentral:rRNA from 1 species